GUUCAUUUCAGGACUCCCCCCAUAGCUCGUGGGUUCAAGAUCCACAUCAGGCUCUGUGCUGACAGCUCAGAGCCUGGAACCUGCUUCACAUUCUGUGUCCUCUCUCUUUCUGCCCCUCCCCCACUUGCUUGCUGGCUUGCGUGCGCAUACUCUCUCUCUCUCAAAAAUAAAUAAGCAUUGGGGCGCCUGGGUGGCUCAGUCGGUUGAGCGUCCGGCUUUGGCUUAGGUCAUGAUCUCGCAGUUUGUGGGUUUGAGCUCCGCGUCGGGCUCUGUGCAGACAACUGGCUCAGAGCCUGAGGCCUGUCUUCAGAUUCUGUGUCUCCCUCUCUCUGACCCUCCCCUGCUCACACUCACUCUCUCUCUCUGUCUCUCAAAAAUAAAUAAAAUAUUAAAAACAAAAAUUAUUUAAAAAAUAAGCAUUAAAAAACAUUUUAGAAAUGAUUCCAGGGCUGCUCAUGGAGAGGCACUGGCCACGAUGAUACCCGGGCCUCUAGGGGACCAGCUGGACCAAGCAUCCCUUUACCAAGGCUGAUGGGAGUCAUGUGUCCAGAAACACAAAGGGAUCCUGGGCGAAUGGUGCCAAGGCCUUCUGGAGGGGGAACUAGUCACACCCAGGGAUUCAGGGGUUACAGUCCUUUCUGGUUGACAACUUAGGAUCGAAAGGGAGUGUCUCCUCCCCCACGCCUUCCUAUCCCAUGUCCCUCUGUUCUGUCCCCUGUGCCCCAGAGGCAUCCAGCUUUGUGGCCGAUCUGUUGGGGAUGCUUGUGCCUGUGGUAGUCAUAGUGCUGGCAGUGACCAGGGAAUGUGUUUCCAGGAGGAGGAGGAGGAGGAGGAGGAGGGAGAACACGCAGAGCCAGAACAGAGACAGGCUGGUGGACGCUGGUGAGAACCAUCCUUGCCCCACAAAACCUUGGCGACUGGGAGCUGAGUCUGCCUCUAACACGGGAUUUCUAACUUUCUCCUCAGAUUUCCUUCCAGAGCCUGCCCUUAGAGUCCCUCAGUUUUGAGUUGCCCUCAAAAAUGGAGAGAGAAAAUAAAAUUUAUUUUUUGAAAUGUGAAUUUCCACAUGAC
rnacentral:lncRNA from 1 species